CCUACGGGAGGCAGCAGUGAGGAAUAUUGGUCAAUGGGCGGAAGCCUGAACCAGCCAAGUCGCGUGAGGGAUUAAGGCCCUGCGGGUCGUAAACCUCUGUUGCCGGGGAGCAGAGGUCCGGACGUGUCCGGGCCGGGAGAGUACCCGGAGAAAAAGCAUCGGCUAACUCCGUGCCAGCAGCCGCGGUAAUACGGAGGAUGCGAGCGUUAUCCGGAUUUAUUGGGUUUAAAGGGUGCGUAGGCGGGCAUUUAAGCCGGCGGUCAAAUGUCGGGGCUCAACCCCGGCCUGCCGUCGGAACUGGGUGCCUUGAGUGGGCGAGAAGUAUGCGGAAGGCGUGGUGUAGCGGUGAAAUGCAUAGAUAUCACGCAGAACCCCGAUUGCGAAGGCAGCAUACCGGCGCCCGACUGACGCUGAGGCACGAAAGUGCGGGUAUCGAACAGGAUUAGAUACCCCAGUAGUC
rnacentral:rRNA from 1 species